AUGCUGAGGGGAGGGGGCAUUAAUGAGAGUGUGCAGGGGUCUGUAGUUCAGUCGAGUUUCUGCAGCGUUCUGUGUUCAUUCAGAGAGGAGGACAACAUGCCAACAUUACUCUUUCUAUCAUCGAUCAUUGGUGUUUGUCUGGGUGUUGAGGUGAGGCAGACCCCUGCAGAGCUCCUGAUGAGUCCAGGAGACAAGGUGCAGCUGGUCUGCAGCCAUGAGAAGACCGACUACACCUUCAUGCAGUGGUACCAACAACCCCCCGGAGAGAGAGCUCUGAAACGCAUCGGACACUUGAACUACGACAGCAAAGAAUACGAGGAGCCUUUCAAAGAACAUUUUAAAAUGUCUGGAGACCUGAGUGGAGACAAAGCGAAGAACGCGUCUCUGUUCAUAGACACACUGAAGGCAGAGGAGCACAGUGCCGUGUAUUUCUGCGCUGCCAGCUACGCACACUGA